AGACAGUGGCGUACGGGUGAGUAACACGUGGAUAAUCUACCCUGGAGUGGGGAAUAACGCUGGGAAACCGGCGCUAAUACCGCAUAAUCCCGAGAGGGCAAAGGAGCAAUUCGCUUCAGGAGGAGUCCGCGGCCGAUUAGCUAGUUGGCAGGGUAAAAGCCUACCAAGGCAACGAUCGGUAGCCGGCCUGAGAGGGCACACGGCCACACUGGCACUGAAACACGGGCCAG
rnacentral:rRNA from 1 species